UGUACAAUGACUUAAUGAUGUGAAAUCCAAUCCGGUCUCUGCAGAUAUCUCUCAAAUCUCCCCCGCCUUCCCCUAUAUCUUAUCUUUCUUCGGGACUUUACAUCCUCCAAUUUCUCCAAGUUUAAGAAAACAUGAUGCCUUCUCUUCCCCACUAGAAAUGCUUUCCCAGGUAAAAAACAUCUAUAUAUUCUUUUUUGUUUAACGUGUUUGUAUGAUUAAGGAGGGGUUUGUUCCGUUUCAGUUUCAUUAUCCUCAUUUCAUUCAAACUUUGGUUUGACCCCUUCUAAAAAAUCUCUCUAAUUAUCUGGAGCCAUUUCAAAUUUCAUCAUUAUCCUCAUAAAUCUUCUUCCCCCAUCUGUGGUUCUAUUUCUAAAAACAGGGACCGAUGAUCUUCACCAUUCUAUGUUGUAGUGUCGAGAAGAAAUUUUGAGCCUGGUGGAUCGUUGAUGUAAUGUUUGAAUUCUAUUUUAAUAUGUUUUUUCCAGUUUUCGCUAAUUUUGAUAAGCCUUUUAAUGUAAGGUUUGCAUUCUCUGUUACAUGGUUUAGCUUGAAUAUUAAUAUCUUAUUUAUAUA